CCGUCAGGCCGGAGAUAAAAAGAAGACGGACCGGUUCUAUCUUUCACUUCCUUCUCUCGUCUGAUCGAGGCUUGGAGAUGCUGUCUCACUUUCCAGUGGCGGCCACAUGUGUGACUGUGCUGCAGGCUGGCUGGCUAGGUCUUCGAAGCAGCUGGAAAGCCCACUAUGGUGUGUGAUCUAACUGAGGAAGGAUGCGCCUUCAGCACCUUGGAGAGGAUUCACAAUGGAGUCUUUUGAUGAUUCGGUGACGCUUCAGCAUCACGAUUGGCGUGUUCCCAUUGAGGGUUCUGAUGAAGAAAGUUCCCUCAUUGAGCGAGGAUGAAGCCAACAUGGAACAGAUCGGAGUGAUGACUAAGCCCGUCCCAGAUGCUUGGAGAUGCUGUCUCACUUUCCAGUGGCGGCCACAGGUGUGACUGUGCUGCAGGUUAAUGAGCCUGUACAUCUCUAGGGUUGGCUAUCGUUUUUGCAUUGAUUGUGCCUAAUCAAUAUGGCUCUGGUCACUUGAAUUCUAUGGCUUCAUCUUUGGAUUGCUCUCCUGAUUGCAGUGGAAUAUCUGAGUCUGGAUGGGCCUGGAAGGAUCUGCCGUGUGUUCGGUCUUCAAAUUAAAAUCUGGAGGAAGAUGUAUAUCGUGUGUAUAGUUAGACUGCACGUUAAAUCUGAAGCAAAAUCUCUGGAGUUAUAAAAACUCCUACAGCUCUGAAUUUUUUUUCAGGUGUAUUGUAAAAUCCAGCACUUCCCAAUAAAAUAACUCUACUAACUAUA